CAGGUUUUCCUGCCCUAGUCCUGGUUCCUGUGUUGAUGUCCGCUCUUGAGUCUCUGCUCCGAUUGUCAACAGGCAGACCAUGUGGCAUUGGGACAUGAAUUAAGAUUUCAACGAUUCCUGAGGUUUCAACCACAGGCUCUAUGGAAUGUUACAGAGUAAGUGUC